CCCUUAGAUGUCCGGGGCUGCACGCGCGCUACACUGAAGGAAUCAGCGUGCUAAAACCAUUGUCGAAAGGCAUUGGUAAACCCAUUAAAAUCCUACGUGAUUGGGAUCGGGAAUUGCAAUUAUUUCCCUUGAACGAGGAAUUCCCAGUAAGUGUGGGUCAUAAGCUCGCGUUGAUUACGUCCCUGCCCUUUGUACACACCGCCCGUCGCUGCCCGGGACUGAGCCGUUUCGAGAAAAGCGGGGGCUGCUGCUGUCGGGGCUUUCGGGCCUUGGCUUCGGUGGAAACCGCUUUAAUCGCAGUGGCUUGAACCGGGCAAAAGUCGUANCA
rnacentral:rRNA from 1 species